UAUUGAAAUUAUUUUAUGUUGCAUAAUGACAACAUGUUGCCCCUAUACAUUUAAGGACAAAGUUCAAUGACCGCCACCUGCUGGAUGGUGAGUGCAGAGGGGCGUGUAAUUGUUGAGCUGGACAAAGAGAAUAUCUUUGCUGAUGCGAUGUCAGUCUUCUUUGGUUCAUUCUAUGUAUUGAACCUGGAAUACCAGGAGUCAGCGUGUGCAACAUUGGAACUAAUUCAGAGAUGAUCCAUGGCCCAUGCUUUCUGGACAUUUACACAAGACGAACAUCAAUGGAGACAAGCUCUCUCGCCAUCUUGCAAGACGCUGUCUCUGUCCAAUAGGUUUUUUGAGUGCAACAGUUUUGAUUUUUUUUUUCCUUCUUUUACCCGUUUGUUAAAAAUUAUUUCAGCUACUUACACUUUAAUUGUCACAUGUA